AGGGUUUAUUGCCACGGCCACAGCGCCCUCGGCCCCCCGGCCCCACCGGUCACUCUUCGGCCAGUUGCCAGGGGUCAGCUGGUCACACGGUGUCCCCAGGGCUCAGUUGGCCAGCAAGGGGGUCCUGGUGUCUCCAGGGGUCAGUCGGUCACCACAGUGUCCACGGGGGUCAGUUGGUCACCACAGUGUCCACAGGGAGUCAGUUGGUCACCACAGUGUCCACAGGGGUCACUUGGUCACUGUGGUGUCCCCAGGGGUCAGUUGGUCACCACAGUGUCCACAGGGGUCACUUGGUCACUGUGGUGUCCCCAGGGGUCAGUUGGUCACCCGCAUGUCUGUGGGGUCCAUUGGCCACCGCGGUGUCCCCGGGGGUCAGUCGGUCACCCCAGUGUCCCCGGGGGUCAGUCGGGUCACUGUGGUGUCCCCAGGGGUCAUCCGGUCACUGUGGUGUCCCCAGGGGUCAGUUGGUCACCGCAGUGUCCCCGGGGGUCAGUCGGUCACUGUGGUGUCCCCCAGGGGUCAGUCAGCCACGGCACUGUGCUGUUGCCAGUGCCCCCCCAUUGCCGGUGUCCCUGUUGGUCACUCUGCCACGGUGGUGUCCCCCAGGGCUGGCCACUGCCAAGGUGGUGUCCCCGGGGUUGGUCACUCAGCCACAGUGGUGUCCUGGUGAUGUCCCCAGGGCUGGUCACUUCAUUCACGGUGGUGUCCCCAGCACUGGUCACUCAUUCAUGGUGGUGUCCUGGUGUCCUGAGGGUGUCCCUGGGGUCAGUCAUUCAGCCACAGUGGUGUCCUGGUGGUGUCCCCAGGGUUGGUCACUCACUCAUGGUGGUGUCCUGGUGGUAUCCCCAGGGUUGGUCACUCACUCACCGGUGGUGUCCCCAGGGUUGGUCACUCAGCCACAGUGGUGACCUGGUGGUGUCCCCAGGGUUGGUCACUCAUUCAUGGUGGUGUCCUGGUGGUGUCCCCAGGGUUGGUCACUCAUUCACGGUGGUGUCCCGGUGUCCUGGGGGUGUCCCCUGGGGUCAGUCAUUUACUCACAGUGGUGUCCUGGUGGUGUCCCCAGGGUUGGUCACUCAGCCACAGUGGUGUCCUGGUGGUGUCCCCAGGGUUGGUCACUCAGCCACAGUGGUGUCCUGGUGGUGUCCCCAGGGUUGGUCACUCACUCAUGGUGGUGUCCUGGUGGUAUCCCCAGGGUUGGUCACUCAUUCAUGCUGGUGUCCCGGUGUCCUGGGGGUGUCCCUGGGGUCAGUCAUUUAGCCACAGGUGGUGUCCUGGUGGUGUCCCCAGGGUUGGUCAUUUACCCACAGUGGUGUCCUGGUGGUGUCCCCGUGGUGUCCCCACGAUGUCCCUCAGCGCUGGUCACUCAGCCACGGCCGUGUCCCUCCUCAGCCUGCCCCUGACCACGGUGCCCAGCCCAGCGUG